AUUCCAGCGUAUCUUUAGACCAGCUAGCAAAAAAGCUCAAGGUCCUGCAUUACCUGAGCCAAAGGAACAAAGAGUGUAACCCAAAACUGCAGGAGCUUCAGCACCAGAUGAAAGCAUGGCUGCAGGCUUCUGGAACUCAGAAACCUCCAUCCAAGGUUCUUGUGGUGAUCACAGUGGACUCUAACCCGCUGAGGGAGAUGCUCAUCACUCAACUUUCAGUCUGAAAUACAGCAGCUGCCUGGUGGUGUGCAGCCGCCACAUUGGGGCGGACUUUCCCUGGCACUGCUUCUCUGUGCUGGUGGAAUAUGACGAUGUGGAGUCCUCACGCUGGACGGCUGUCUGCAGACAGAUGAACAUCUGUCACAUGGCCUUCACCACUGUCAGCCCCAUCUCUGGUUAUUCAGCUGGUUUCAUUCUGAUUUUAUGACAUAAUGUUAAAUGCCUGCAAUCUCUUAAAAUGUAUUACAAUUAUGCAUAUAUAUUAACUCUAUUUAACAUUAACUUUAAUUUUUGAAACAGACCCCACAAUCACCUCUUCUCCGCUGCCAUUUGUGAAAAAUGUCCCC
rnacentral:lncRNA from 1 species